GAGACAACCAGGAUAACAGUGAAGAGACCAUGGUGUGAAGAAGAGAGAAGCACAGUAAACGAACAUCUAGCAAGAGAACCUUUUGGAGCCCAGCCUGCAUUUGUUUCAUGUGCCAGUAAUGAACUGCCCAAAGCCCUGCAAAACCUCAAGGAAACUAGCGA